UCAGGACGAACGCUGGCGGCGUGCUUAACACAUGCAAGUCGAACGGAGAAUUUAUUUCGGUAAAUUCUUAGUGGCGAACGGGUGAGUAACGCGUAGGCAACCUGCCCUCCAGUUGGGGACAACAUUCCGAAAGGAAUGCUAAUACCGAAUGUGAUCCUUCUUCCGCAUGGAAGAAGGAUGAAAGAUGGCCUCUAUUUAUAAGCUAUCGCUGGAAGAUGGGCCUGCGUCUGAUUAGCUAGUUGGUGGGGUAACGGCUCACCAAGGCGAUGAUCAGUAGCCGGUCUGAGAGGAUGAACGG
rnacentral:rRNA from 1 species